AUGUCCCUGAUAUAUUAUAGUUCAUCACGAAGCUCUAGCAGCUUGGUGGUAAUGACUUCGGAGAAACAUCAAUAUCUCAUCUGGAAGAUCAACUCCCACUUGAUUCAAAUGAUUGUUGUACUCAGACAAUCUGAGCACAAGCUCAACAAUGAAGCUUUUCUCCUUAGUUUGCAGGCUAAGAAAAUCGUCGGAGGUCUCAUACCUCUUGACGUGGGCACGAGCCUGAAAUCCCAAUUUCAGCCCUCGAAACAUCUCAUAUGUUUCGCGACGUUUCAAAACCGUCUUCGGUGCCUCAAUUAUAAACCGUUUAACUGA
rnacentral:rRNA from 1 species